UGAUGCUGGCAACUAUACUUGUGUCUUUGAUACAAACCCAAAAUCGGAAGGCAGGUUUGAAGUACAAAUUCCUCCGAUUUGGACCAAAAAUAUAAAUGAAAUACGUUCUGAUGGUGAUCAUAUUAACUUAACCUGCAAAAGUGACCGAUAUACCCCUCUUUACUGGAUUUGGUCAAAGGAAGUCAAAGGCAGAAAGGUGACCCUGAAUAAUGAAACAGGAGACCAAUAUUACAUCCAUAGCCUUGGCA